GAUGGACGCUGGCGGCGUGCCUAAUACAUGCAAGUCGAGCGAAUGGAUUAAGAGCUUGCUCUUAUGAAGUUAGCGGCGGACGGGUGAGUAACACGUGGGUAACCUGCCCAUAAGACUGGGAUAACUCCGGGAAACCGGGGCUAAUACCGGAUAACAUUUUGAACCGCAUGGUUCGAAAUUGAAAGGCGGCUUCGGCUGUCACUUAUGGAUGGACCCGCGUCGCAUUAGCUAGUUGGUGAGGUAACGGCUCACCAAGGCAACGAUGCGUAGCCGACCGGACAGGGUGAGCGGCCACACUGGGACUGAGACACGGCCCAGACUCCUACGGGAGGCAGCAGUAGGGAAUCUUCCGCAAUGGACGAAAGUCUGACGGAGCAACGCCGCGUGAGUGAUGAAGGCUUUCGGGUCGUAAAACUCUGUUGUUAGGGAAGAACAAGUGCUAGUCGAAUAAGCUGGCACCUUGACGGUACCUAACCAGAAAGCCACGGCUAACUACGUGCCAGCCGCCGCAGUAA
rnacentral:rRNA from 1 species